CACGCAGGCGGACCGACAGGUCGUUUGUGAAAGGCGAGGGCUCAACCCUUGUUUUGCGGACGAAACCGUCGGUCUUGAGUUCGUGAGAGGAAAGUGGAAUUCAGGGUGUAGCGGUGAAAUGCUUAGAUAUCCUGAGGAACACCAGUGGCGAAAGCGACUUUCUGGCACGAAACUGACGCUGAGGCUCGAAAGCAUGGGUAGGCGAACG
rnacentral:rRNA from 1 species